CCUACGGGUGGCUGCAGUGGGGAAUCUUCCGCAAUGGACGAAAGUCUGACGGAGCAACGCCGCGUGAGCGAAGAAGGUCUUCGGAUCGUAAAGCUCUGUUGUUAGGGAAGAACAAGUACGGGAGGAAAUGACCGUACCUUGACGGUACCUGACUAAGGAGCCCCGGCUAACUACGUGCCAGCAGCCGCGGUAAUACGUAGGGGGCAAGCGUUAUCCGGAAUCACUGGGUGUAAAGGGUGCGUAGGCGGUAGGGCAAGUCAGAUGUGAAAGCCCGGAGCUCAACUCCGGGAUUGCAUUUGAAACUGUCUUACUAGAGUGCAGGAGAGGAAAGCGGAAUUCCUAGUGUAGCGGUGAAAUGCGUAGAUAUUAGGAAGAACACCAGUGGCGAAGGCGGCUUUCUGGACUGUAACUGACGCUGAGGCACGAAAGCGUGGGGAGCGAACAGGAUUAGAUACCCGGGUAGUC
rnacentral:rRNA from 1 species